CCUACGGGAGGCAGCAGUGGGGAAUCUUGCGCAAUGGGCGAAAGCCUGACGCAGCCAUGCCGCGUGAAUGAUGAAGGUCUUAGGAUUGUAAAAUUCUUUCACCGGGGACGAUAAUGACGGUACCCGGAGAAGAAGCCCCGGCUAACUUCGUGCCAGCAGCCGCGGUAAUACGAAGGGGGCUAGCGUUGCUCGGAAUUACUGGGCGUAAAGGGAGCGUAGGCGGAUAGUUUAGUCAGAGGUGAAAGCCCAGGGCUCAACCUUGGAAUUGCCUUUGAUACUGGCUAUCUUGAGUAUGGGAGAGGUAUGCGGAACUCCGAGUGUAGAGGUGAAAUUCGUAGAUAUUCGGAAGAACACCAGUGGCGAAGGCGGCAUACUGGCCCAUUACUGACGCUGAGGCUCGAAAGCGUGGGGAGCAAACAGGAUUAGAUACCCUGGUAGUCCACGCUGUAAACGAUGAGUGCUAGUUGUCGGCAUGCAUGCAUGUCGGUGACGCAGCUAACGCAUUAAGCACUCCGCCUGGGGGAGGUACGGUCGCGAAGAAGUUAAACUUACGAAAGUAAGUUAGUUAGGCGNGAGACGNGCCGACGGACGACGACGAGGGAGGAGG
rnacentral:rRNA from 1 species